GAAACAGAGUACAUUAACAUUUUAGUUGAGCAAGUUAAUACCUGCACUUCACAGUCCCUCAGAGACGAUGAACCUUAAAAGCACAGCUGUUCUUUUGACCAUUCUGAGUGUUGUCACUGUCAAUUCUGAAGCUAAACUUAUUAGCUGUUGUACAGAGACAGCAUCCUACAUACCAUUGAAUAUUCUGAGAAAAGUGACAAGAAUUGAAAUACAGAAAGAAGAUGGCUUGUGUGACAUUAAAGCUGCAGUAAUCCAUGUGAAUGGGAAAAAACUGUGUUUGGAUCCAGAUAUCAAGACAAUUAAAAAGUGGAUCAAAAUGAAGAACCAGAGGAAAUACAGAAGAGGCAUUUUCUAAACUACCAUAUCUCACUGACAGCAGACAGCAAUGAAACCUGAUGAAGAGCAGGAUUGAAGUUAGACUUCAGUCUAAAUGUCAUAAUCGCUCACAGUUUAUUAAAAUGCUUUAUAAGAUACAUUUAAUUAUUUGCUUAGCCACUGAAUUGCAACACUUGAAUGCCUAAACAGUUCUGGACUCUCACAGUCAGUGAAGGUCAUUCACCUAAAAGAAAUCUCUAAGUUGCAGAAAACACAUAUGUGAAAUGUUAAGUAGUCCACUGAGUUAGUAGUUAGCUGUAUACUGAAGGUCUGAAUCAUGAACGGGGCCAAAAAAUUAAACAGUACUUAUUAGUAGAAUUUCACACAGUAAUGUGAAAAAGUAUUACACUACAUAUAAUGUAGAUAACUGUAUAAAAAAGUAAACAGAAUAAACUUGCCUCAAUUUGAUUUAGUUAUGACACAAACUACUUAAGAAACUUUUUACUGAAUUAGAGGUGUGUCACAUUGUGAUGACGUCAUCACACCUGGUGAAAAAUGAUAAGCUUGGAUCAGGAUAUAUGGUACAUACACUAGUUAUCACCUGGAAAUACCUUAUUGAAUGACAUAAUAACCAAAAAAAAUAAAAUAAAAAAAGUAUCUGUAAGUAUAUGUUGCUGGUUUUAGGUAUGGUGUAAGUGGGUGUACCAGUAUCAUAACAUUUUAAACAUUUAUUUGUAAAA